UAUAUACUCCCUCCGUUCAGACUUGUCGCGGAAAUGGAUGUAUCUAGACGUAUUUUAAUCCUAGAUACAUCCAUAUUCGAGACAAGUAAUUCCGAACGGAGGGAGUAUAGG
rfam:Triticum aestivum genome assembly, contig: Triticum_aestivum_CS42_TGACv1_scaffold_193567_3AL